UUGCAGCAACAAAGGAUCAAAUCCGUAACCCUUCUUCUCAAUUCUUCUCCAAAAUUCAAAUGAUCACAACUUCUUCGUUUCUCAACGAAAUUUAGUGAUUCUUGCGGCCACGGAACGAGGAAACAAUUAUCUACAGCUCUGUGGGUUGAAUUUGAGGUGUUUACAAGCUUCCAUGGAAGGUUUUUGAUAAUGAAUUUGGGCAUGGAACCUUCGGCCAAGAGACAAUCAUCAAGACUCGAAGGAGCGACUAUCGAUAAGGCUCGAGGCAAACGGAUCGAGAUAUUGUCAAGCUUAUUUGAAGAAUUUGGAUAGCAAGUGGGAUAGCAUGAUAUUAUUUGGAAAGUCAAGCUUCCGAAGUUUUAAUUCUCGGAAGUCAUUUGCACGAGAAGUGAAAGAAGGUUUUCAUUCUAGCAGUCCGCAGUAGUCUAGAUGUUUUUGUCUAUGUAUUUGAC